rnacentral:rRNA from 1 species
GAGUUUGAUCCUGGCUCAGGACGAACGCUGGCGGCGCGCCUAACACAUGCAAGUCGAACGGAGCUGAGAGGAGCUUGCUUUUCUUAGCUUAGUGGCGAACGGGUGAGUAACGCGUGAGUAACCUGCCCUGGAGUGGGGGACAACAGUUGGAAACGACUGCUAAUACCGCAUAAGCCCACGUAUUCGCAUGGAUAUGAGGGAAAAGAUUUAUCGCUUGUAGAUGGGCUCGCGUCCUAUUAGCUAGUUGGUGAGGUAACGGCUCACCAAGGCGACGAUAGGUAGCCGACCUGAGAGGGUGAUCGGCCACACUGGAACUGAGACACGGUCCAGACUCCUACGGGAGGCAGCAGUGGGGAAUAUUGCACAAUGGGCGAAAGCCUGAUGCAGCAACGCCGCGUGAGCGAUGAAGGCCUUCGGGUCGUAAAGCUCUGUCCUCAAGGAAGAUAAUGACGGUACUUGAGGAGGAAGCCCCGGCUAACUACGUGCCAGCCGCCGCGGUAAUAC